rnacentral:lncRNA from 1 species
GUUGGUUUUCAUCGUCUCAGUCACAUCAGGAUAGGAAUCAGUGCCAUAGUGGGAUCAGCUUCUGCCAGGUCUCCAUAGAGCAUGAAAGCAACACAUGAGGCUUCCUCUUGUUUCCGUGUUUCUUCCGAUCUGUUCAAAGGUUAAAUAAAGUCAGGAGAAUAUUCACGUGCAAAAUGAGCCAGCCUGGGAUGCCAGGACCCAGGGAGUAGGUGGCAUAGAUGUUCUGUGAGAUGGCUUGAGA